GUGAGGAAUAUUGGUCAAUGGGCGGGAGCCUGAACCAGCCAAGUCGCGUGAAGGAAGAAGGAUCUAUGGUUCGUAAACUUCUUUUGCAGGGGAAUAAAGUGCAGGACGUGUCCUGUUUUGUAUGUACCCUGAGAAUAAGGAUCGGCUAACUCCGUGCCAGCAGCCGCGGUAAUACGGAGGAUUCGAGCGUUAUCCGGAUUUAUUGGGUUUAAAGGGUGCGUAGGUGGUUUGAUAAGUCAGUGGUGAAAGUUUGCAGCUUAACUGUAAAAAUGCCGUUGAAACUGUCGGACUUGAGUGUAAAUGAGGUAGGCGGAAUGCGUGGUGUAGCGGUGAAAUGCAUAGAUAUCACGCAGAACUCCGAUUGCGAAGGCAGCUUACUAAGCUACAACUGACACUGAAGCACGAAAGCGUGGGGAUCAAACAGGAUUAGAAACCCCUGUAGUCC
rnacentral:rRNA from 1 species